GCGGUGGGGGAUCUUGAAGUAAUCCAAAAAUUUCCUUUCCCCUUUGACAGUCCACCAAAAGAUGUCAAACCAAAUCCAGCCUAUUGUAAAGCUCUGGGACCUCCCUUCCAAGGACACCGAACACAAGCUUAGACACCGCUGCGAAAAGCUGUCCAAAAGCGCCUGGCCGGACAGAAAUGUAAGGAGCCCAGACCAAAACGAAUUAGAACCCCCAACAGAGGGUCCCGCAGACACCGCGGAAAAGAAGGUGGCAUUUAUUCCGGGGUAGACAGCUACGAACCAGUUACCCCAGCCAGUCUCUGGGGGCUCUCCAACCCAAGUUCAGGUUUAUGGCAGAUAUAUUGGUUGGGUGCCUUCCCCUACAAACAUCACAGCCCGCCUCCGGGGCCCACCGCCGCUCACAGAGAAGACCCCUCAGCUUCACAUCCGUUCCUUUUGCCCUCGGACAAAGGCAGAGGAGCUGUGGAGCUGACCCAGCGCUGUGGGGCAGUAAAAAUGCCUUGUUCGGGCCACCCAUCUUUGGGCCCGGCUUCAUCUGCGAUGUCAGCACCAAAGGUUUUUUUUUUUUUUUUUCUGGUUUUGUUUUGUUUUUACAACGCAUCCUGGGCGGGUGUAUGCAUUUGGUGGUAGUGGGGUGGGGGGAACCGAACAGAGGAGGGGUUGGCAGUGAAGCCUGGGUUAUAGAACUCUCCUUCCUCUCCCUCCUUCCAGGGUUGCCGUGCAGGGAGUGUCAGCCACGUCUAGCGCACAGUCCCAGGCCCCAGGGCGAAGGCGGCCAGGGGAAAUGGGGCUCAGGGAUUGCUAAGCAAACGCAUCACUGGUGGUCUCCAGCGCCUGCGGAGGCAGUGCCUGAUGGCUGAGAAGAAUCGCAGAGGACUAGAAAAGGUUUGAGUCUGAAAUUAUCUGGCACAGAGGAUUUGAGCUCAGAAAUAAGUGAUUGCGAAACAGUUCAACUUCCCUGUUAAUGACAACAACAACAACAGCAACACGCUUAUUAAUUCCUAGCUGGAGCAUCAAGCUUAUGAAGAUUUCCAAGUAAGACUUUAUUGUUGACCCUUGUUGAAGAGAACUCUACUUGGCUUCUUUCCUGGCUUUCCUAAAUUGUUCACAUACAAGAUAAACUACCGUCAUUCAGACUUACAGAAGUGAGAAGACAAGCUGAACCAAAUGUAAAAUGGUAGCAAUUUACAGAUGUCAGAACUAACAUGUGGAUGAACUUAGAGAUGGAGAAGAAAGCUGGGCUUUUCCAAAGAGUGGAUCUAUCUGAACUGGAUAGCACUAUUGAACUUUGUUGCAUAUUUUGUGGUAGCUCUAAAACUCCUUUGCUUGCUUACUUUUAAAUGCAAUGUGUUGCUGUACAUACAUACAACCAGACACCAGUGCCUUCUGAAGCUAAUCCAGGCCAUUUUUAUAACCUAAUGCAGUAGCACUUUGCAAUUAGAUGAAGAAGAUCGGUGGGAUUUCUUUCUGUGGUGAUUAAAAUGUGUCAGGGGAAGAAAUCAAGACAAUACUCCAAGAGAAAAAUAUAAAGUCAGUUAUUUCUUUAA